GGAUUCCCCUAGUAACUGCGAGUGAAGCGGGAAAAGCUCAAAUUUGAAAUCUGGCGGUCUAUGGCCGUCCGAGUUGUAAUCUAGAGAAGUGUUACCCGCGCUGGACCGUGUACAAGUCUCCUGGAAUGGAGCGUCAUAGAGGGUGAGAAUCCCGUCUCUGACACGGACUACCAGGGCUUUGUGGUAUGCUCUCAAAGAGUCGAGUUGUUUGGGAAUGCAGCUCAAAAUGGGUGGUAAAUUCCAUCUAAAGCUAAAUAUUGGCGAGAGACCGAUAGCGAACAAGUACCGUGAGGGAAAGAUGAAAAGAACUUUGGAAAGAGAGUUAAACAGUACGUGAAAUUGCUGAAAGGGAAACGCUUGAAGUCAGUCACGUUGACCAGGGAUCAGCCUUGCUCUAUUGCUUGGUGCACUUUCUGGUUGACGGGUCAGUAUCAAUUUUGACCACUGGAAAAAGGCUUAGGAAAUGUGGCAGCUCUGGCUGUGUUAUAGUCUUGAGUCACAUACAGUGGUUGGGAUUGAGGAACUCAGCACGCCGCAAGGCCGGGUUUCGACCACGUUCGUGCUUAGGAUGCUGGCAUAAUGGCUUUAAGCGACCCGUCUUGAAACACGGACCAAGGAGUCUAACAUGCUUGCAAGUGUUUGGGUGGUAAACCCGAGUGCGCAAUGAAAGUGAAAGUUGAGAUCCCUGUCGUGGGGAGCAUCGACGCCCGGACCAGAACUUUUGGGACGGAUCCGCGGUGGAGCAUGUAUGUUGGGACCCGAAAGAUGGUGAACUAUGCCUGAAUAGGGUGAAGCCAGAGGAAACUCUGGUGGAGGCUCGUAGCGAUUCUGACGUGCAAAUCGAUCGUCAAAUUUGGGUAUAG
rnacentral:rRNA from 1 species